rnacentral:rRNA from 1 species
UGGAUAGGGGUUCUGAGAGGAAGGUCCCCCACAUUGGAACUGAGACACGGUCCAAACUCUACGGGAGGCAGCAGUGAGGAAUAUUGGUCAAUGGACGAGAGUCUGAACCAGCCAAGUAGCGUGAAGGAUGAAGGUUUAUGGAUUGUAAACUUCUUUUAUACGGGAAUAACGGAUCCACGUGUGGAUUUUUGCAUGUACCGUAUGAAUAAGGAUCGGCUAACUCCGUGCCAGCAGCCGCGGUAAUACGGAGGAUCCGAGCGUUAUCCGGAUUUAUUGGGUUUAAAGGGAGCGUAGAUGGGUUGUUAAAUCAGUUGUGAAAGUUCGCGGCUCAACCGUAAAAUUGCAAUUGAUACUGGCAGUCUUGAGUACAGUUGAGGUAGGCGGAAUUC